UACGGAGGGUGCAAGCGUUAAUCGGAAUUACUGGGCGUAAAGGGUUCGUAGGUUGUUAUGUAAGUUGGCUGUGAAAGCCCCGGGCUCAACCUGGGAUGGUCAGUCAAAACUACAUGGCUAGAGUAUAGUAGAGGGGUGUGGAAUUUCCGGUGUAGCGGUGAAAUGCGUAGAGAUCGGAAGGAACACCAGUGGCGAAGGCGGCACCCUGGACUAAUACUGACACUGAGGAACGAAAGCGUGGGGAGCAAAC
rnacentral:rRNA from 1 species